rnacentral:tRNA from 1 species
GGCCCCAUCGUCUAGCCUGGUCGAGGACACAGGCUUUUCAAGCCUGUGACACGGGUUCAAAUCCCGUUGGGGCCA